GACGAGCAGCCCGCGACUCAUCCAUCUGUCUCUUUCUCUCCCCAAUCCACCCGCCGCCGGCGAUCUCUCCUCCCGCACCGGCGACCUCCUCUCCGCCAGCCCCGCCAAGGGCCUCGUCUCCCGCAGCCCCACGACGACCUCCCUUCCUUCCUCCAUCCCUUCUUAGCGACAGUGACAGGGACCGAAACCCUAGCCCCUCACUUCCACCCGCGGUCCGGAUGAGGCGGAGAGACGGACGCCCUCCGUCUUCCGCCGAAUGCGCCCACCAGCGGUGGCUCGGCUGCUGCUCCCGCAGCGCGACGGAGGCCGAUCCCGUCCACCCCCUUCUCUCCGCGGGGCAUGGCACAUGGACAUGGGGGAGCGGCGCCAUCUCCGACCUUACUGGGACGGCGCCUCCCUCCCCUCACCUCCCCACGCGCCGCAGGACCUAGACGCCCAAGACUUACUUGCGCUUCAGAUCUGACCUGUUCCAUCCGACGACGACGACGACGACGGACGAUGACGACCAGACCCACAGGAUCUCCUCGCCGCGCCGGCUUGUAUCUACAUCUCCUCCCGGAAGACGACAUGUACUUUACUGGCCGGUGAUGGUGAAUUCACAUCUUUGCAUCGAAGACAGUCUUGAUAUUUUGAAGGAGUUGCAUUGAGGACAAUCCCCACAGCCACAGGUCAGUUACUCUUUCCAGAAAGAAAUUGACAAGCUUACGAGUUUUGAGCAGCAGAGCUGCUAUGUAUGGCAGGCUCUUUGUACCUUCUCGACUGAUUACUUGAGUUGAAUGCUUACAAAUUCUUAGGUUGAGCUAUUUAAGUUAAUAAAGCCAAACCGGCCGUCAGUGAUGAUCUGUCAUCUAGUGUUAUCUUUUGUUGUCUACAAAAAUAACAAUUUAAUUACCAGUAUGUGCCAGUGAUGAUCUAUCAUCUAGUGUUCAUGGAAACAUAUCAUUAUCUUUGUGUCAUAUAAACACUGACUGCCAAAUGUUACAGCACCAUUUCGAGUUCUUCCUCAAGACGCCCACCCUCGACGGCGUUCUCGCAACAAGAGUUCUCGCGUGUGUUUCAGUUUGCCUCUGGCGUUCUGGCGACAAUCUGUACUAGCUGCCAUCUGUAUUGAUUUCAGUUUUAAAAAAAAAGACGAUCUGUAUUGAUUUUGAUUCGUUUCCUUUUCUGGCGGAUGCACGACCUGUUUCCUAUGUAUGUAUAGGUACACUUACUAUGUUUUCAAAGUUGGCUGGCACAGAGCAAAGUCAUCAACCAAUGCCAUCUUCCAGUCAUUCUUUGUUUAUCUGAAUCACUCACUGUAAUUUGUAGUACUUGGAAAUUUACUUGUGGCAGUCUGAAGCUUUAUUUUAGUAAUAUACUUGGAGAAUUCCAAAUUGA